CUUUGUUUGCUAUAAUAAUAUUUUUGUUGCAGCUUUACUGGUCUUCACAUAAUCUGUUGAAUCAUUCCUUUACAAGAAGUAUCUGAAGAAGGCAUUUCUGAAGAAGGCAAAUUAAAUGGAAAAAAAUAAAGACCAUAAAACUGAUGCUUCAAGGACCUAAAAAUACACCUGAAAGUUGAAAGAAAUGAGUGCUACAGCUUUCAGAACAUGGUAGCCCAAUUAAUCUUUUAAAUUUGCAUCUGUGAAUGGGACAUCUGGCAAAUGGGAAAUCUGUUGACUGUCAUACCUCCAUGCCCUGGGACUUGAAGGAAGUCAAGGAUGUCAGGAGAAAGAGAAGACAAAAGGUUUG
rnacentral:lncRNA from 1 species